GAGAAAGAGAGGAUUGGAAGGACAAAGGUUUUAGAGGCAGAAAGGGGGUUUUUAUUAAUCUUUAGUUACUUGAAAAAUGGCGGUAGGAAGUUCUAUCGCUCUGAUAACAGGAACUGUAACCGACUAUAAGAAGAUUAACUAGCUAGCAGUCAUUAAUGAGAUGAACAUUUAAGGUUUGGGUAAUAUCAGAAGAUUAUCAAUCGUUUGGGUGGAUUACUGGAUCAAGCAUUUGGAUCAUAGUCAAACAAGAGCAUUUCGUCGAACAGUUAGAGAGCACAGUCUAUACAUCCUGAUAGCCAAACAUAGCAUCGCAAGAUAAGUAGGAACACUGGAUCAAGCAUUUGGAUCAUAUUCAAACAAUAACAUUUCGUCGAACAGUUAGAGAGCACAGUCUAUUAAUCCAGAUAGCCAAACAAUAGCAUCGCAAGAUAACCAGGAGCAUCAAAAUCGACAAGAUAUCAAAAUUCGAGCAGAGACGGAAACGUAUGUACGGCAUACCUUUCAAAGAGGGACGAGCUUGAACAGAAGGAUUAGAGCUGCAAGAGACAUGAACAGGAACGUAACAAGGAUCGUCAGCUCCACCGAUCCACACAGAUGCAUCUGGCAAGAGGGACGAGCUUGAACAGAAGGAUUAGAGCUGCAAGAAACAUGAACAGGAACGUAACAAGGAUCGCCAGCUCCACCGAUCCACACAGUUGAAUCUGGCUGCUCCUGAACCUCUCUCUCGCCAAUUUCAACCU
rnacentral:lncRNA from 1 species